rnacentral:rRNA from 1 species
GACGAACGCUGGCGGCGUGCUUAACACAUGCAAGUCGAACGGAAAGGCCCUGCUUUUGUGGGGUGCUCGAGUGGCGAACGGGUGAGUAACACGUGAGUAACCUGCCCUUGACUUUGGGAUAACUUCAGGAAACUGGGGCUAAUACCGGAUAGGAGCUCCUGCUGCAUGGUGGGGGUUGGAAAGUUUCGGCGGUUGGGGAUGGACUCGCGGCUUAUCAGCUUGUUGGUGGGGUAGUGGCUUACCAAGGCUUUGACGGGUAGCCGGCCUGAGAGGGUGACCGGCCACAUUGGGACUGAGAGACGGCCCAGACUCCUACGGGAGGCAGCAGGGGGGAGUAUUGCACAAUGGGCGGAAGCCUAAUGCAGCAGCGCCGGGUGCGUGAUGACGGCCUGCGGGUUGUGAACCGCUUUCGCCUGUGACGAAGCGUGAGUGACGGUAAUGGAUAAAGAAGCACCGGCUAACUACGUG